rnacentral:rRNA from 1 species
ACUCAAAGGAAUUGACGGGGGCCCGCACAAGCGGUGGAGUAUGUGGUUUAAUUCGAAGCAACGCGCAGAACCUUACCUGGGCUUAACAUCCACUGACAAUCACAGAGAUGUGACUUUCCCUUCGGGGACAGUGAGAUAGGUGCUGCAUGGCUGUCGUCAGCUCGUGUCGUAAGAUGUUGGGUUAAGUCCCGCAACGAGCGCAACCCUUGUCUUUAGUUGCCAGCAUUAAGUUGGGCACUCUGAAGAGACUGCCGGUGUUAAACCGGAGGAAGGCGGGGAUGACGUCAAGUCCUCAUGGCCCUUACGUCCAGGGCUACACACGUACUACAAUGGCAGAGACAAAGCGUCGCGAAGCCGCGAGGUGGAGCUAAUCGCAAAAACACUGUCUCAGUCCGGAUUGAAGUCUGCAACUCGACUUCAUGAAGCUGGAAUCGCUAGUAAUCGCAGAUCAGCACGCUGCGGUGAAUACGUUCCCGGGCCUUGUACACACCGCCCGU